UUCGAGUUGUCCCCGGCAGUCCUCUUAAAGUCCCCGGCAUUACCCGCUGGUAACUAAGAGCAGGGGUUGCGCUCGUUGCGGCACUUAAGCCAACACCUCACGGCACGAGCUGAAGACAGCCAUGCAACACCUGUGUAGGGCCCUUGCGGACACCGUGUCUCCACGGCUUUCCCCAAGAUGUCAAGCCCAGGUAAGGUUCUUCGCGUUGCGUCGAAUUAAACCACAUGCUCCACCGCUUGUGCGGGCCCCCGUCAAUUCCUUUGAGUUUCAGCCUUGCGGCCGUACUCCCCAGGCGGGGCACUUAAUGCGUUAGCGCCGGCGCCCAGGGGGUCGCUCCCCCAGGCACCUAGUGCCCAUCGUUUACGGCGUGGACUAC
rnacentral:misc_RNA from 1 species